GAAAGCGUAAUAGCUCACUAGUCGAGUCGGCCUGCGCGGAAGAUGUAACGGGGCUCAAACCAGGCACCGAAGCCGCGGAUUCACACUUAUGUGUGAGUGGUAGGGGAGCGUUCUGUAAGUCUGCGAAGGUGUAUCGAGAGGUAUGCUGGAGAUAUCAGAAGUGCGAAUGCUGACGUAAGUAACGAUAAAGGGGGUGAAAAGCCUCCUCGCCGGAAGACCAAGGGUUCCUGUCCAACGUUAAUCGGGGCAGGGUGAGUCGACCCCUAAGGCGAGGCCGAAAGGCGUAGUCGAUGGGAAGCAGGUUAAUAUUCCUGCACGACUUGUAAUUGCGAUGGGGGGACGGAGAAGGCUAGGUGGGCCAGGCGACGGUUGUCCUGGUGAAAGUGCGUAGGUGGUGUUUCUAGGCAAAUCCGGAGACACAACACUGAGACACGAGACGAACACACUACGGUGUGGAAGCCAUUGAUGCCCUGCUUCCAGGAAAAGCCUCUAAGCUUCAGAUUACAAGUCAUCGUACCCCAAACCGACACAGGUGGUCGGGUAGAGAAUACCAAGGCGCUUGAGAGAACUCGGGUGAAGGAACUAGGCAAAAUAGAACCGUAACUUCGGGAGAAGGUUCGCUCUUGACAGUGAAGUCCCUUGCGGAUGGAGCAGUUGGGAGUCGCAGUGACCAGAUGGCUGGGACUGUUUAUCAAAAACACAGCACUCUGCAAACACGAAAGUGGACGUAUAGGGUGUGACACCUGCCCGGUGCCGGAAGGUUAAUUGAUGGGGUUAGCGCAAGCGAAGCUCUUGAUCGAAGCCCCGGUAAACGGCGGCCGUAACUAUAACGGUCCUAAGGUAGCGAAAUUCCUUGUCGGGUAAGUUCCGACCUGCACGAAUGGUGUAACCAUGGCCAUGCUGUCUCCACCCGAGACUCAGUGAAAUCGAAUUCGCCGUGAAGAUGCGGUGUACCCGCGGCUAGACGGAAAGACCCCGUGAACCUUUACUACAGCUUGGCACUGAACAUUGAACCUACAUGUGUAGGAUAGGUGGGAGGCUUUGAAGGCGUGACGCCAGUUGCGCUGGAGCCGUCCUUGAAAUACCACCCUUGUAUGUUUGAUGUUCUAACGCAGGGCCCUGAAUCGGGCUCGCGGACAGUGCCUGGUGGGUAGUUUGACUGGGGCGGUCUCCUCCCAAAGAGUAACGGAGGAGCACGAAGGUUGGCUAAUCCUGGUCGGACAUCAGGAGGUUAGUGCAAUGGCAUAAGCCAGCUUAACUGCGAGACGGACAGGUCGAGCAGGUACGAAAGUAGGUCAUAGUGAUCCGGUGGUUCUGAAUGGAAGGGCCAUCGCUCAACGGAUAAAAGGUACUCCGGGGAUAACAGGCUGAUACCGCCCAAGAGUUCAUAUCGACGGCGGUGUUUGGCACCUCGAUGUCGGCUCAUCACAUCCUGGGGCUGAAGUCGGUCCCAAGGGUAUGGCUGUUCGCCAUUUAAAGUGGUACGCGAGCUGGGUUCAGAACGUCGUGAGACAGUUCGGUCCCUAUCUGCCGUGGGCGUUGGAUGAUUGAAGGGAGUUGCUCCUAGUACGAGAGGACCGGAGUGAACGAACCUCUGGUGUUCGGGUUGUCACGCCAGUGGCACUGCCCGGUAGCUAAGUUCGGAAUCGAUAACCGCUGAAAGCAUCUAAGCGGGAAGCGAGCCCUGAGAUGAGUCAUCCCUGACCCCUUGAGGGUCCUAAAGGGCCGUUGGAGACCACAACGUUGAUAGGUGGGGUGUGUAAGCGCGGCGACGUGUUGAGCUAACCCAUACUAAUUACCCGUGAGGCUUAACCAU
rnacentral:rRNA from 1 species